CUUGGUCAUUUAGAGGAAGUAAAAGUCGUAACAAGGUUUCCGUAGGUGAACCUGCGGAAGGAUCAUUAACGAAUUCACGGGAGUCCUUCUCGGACUCUCGUAAUCCAAACACAAACACCCGUGAACUUCUCGAGCGAGUCGAACAGGUGGGGAAGAGAUUCCCCGGCUGGGACGGCUUGCCCCUUUACAAACUCAUUGUCAAACGAAUCAGGAAGCGAUACGCGGCUCAGCCGUAUUAAUCAUAAUACAACUUUCAACAACGGAUCUCUUGGCUCUCGCAUCGAUGAAGAACGCAGCGAAAUGCGAUAAGUAAUGUGAAUUGCAGAAUUCAGUGAAUCAUCGAAUCUUUGAACGCACCUUGCGCUCCUUGGUAUUCCGAGGAGCACGCCUGUUCGAGCGUCAUGAAACCCUUCGGACGGACACGUUUUUCAUUAGACGUGUCUAGCUUCCGGUAUUGGACGUCUGCCGUGCUCCCGCUACGGCUCGUCCCAAAUGCAUGAGCUGGUCCAAGCACCGACUUCGGUUCCACUCGACGUGAUAAGUCACAUUCGUCGAGGACGCCUCUCUUCGGAAGGGCGGCCGUGGACGGUCUUAUACGGACUGCUAUCUAAUCCUCUCCCUCGGGAGAGAUACCGUAACCUUUGACCUCGAAUCAGGCGGGACUACCCGCUGAACUUAAGCAUAUCAAUAAGCGGAGGAAAAGAAACUAACAAGGAUUCCCCUAGUAACGGCGAGUGAAGCGGGAUGAGCUCAAAUUUGAAAUCUGGCGGCCUUCGGUCGUCCGAGUUGUAAUCUAGAGAAGCGUUUUCUGCGUCGGACUGUGUACAAGUUUCCUGGAUACGGAACAUCAUAGAGGGUGAGAAUCCCGUCCUUGACACAGGCUCCCGGUGCUCUGCGAUGCGCUCUCGACGAGUCGAGUUGUUUGGGAUUGCAGCUCAAAAUGGGAGGUAAAUUCCUUCUAAAGCUAAAUAUUGGCGAGAGACCGAUAGCGAACAAGUACCGUGAGGGAAAGAUGAAAAGCACUUUGGAAAGAGAGUUAAACAGUACGUGAAAUUGUUGAAAGGGAAACGCUUGAAGU
rnacentral:rRNA from 1 species